GCUUUUGGUAGGAUUGGGCGAUUGGUUGCCAGAGUCACGCUCCAGAGUGAGGAUGUGGAACUCAUUGCCGUCAAUGAUCCAUUCAUUACCACCGAUUACAUGACAUACAUGUUUAAAUAUGAUACUGUACAUGGGCAAUGGAAGCAUAACGAGAUAAAAGUGAAGGAUUCCAAGACCCUUCUUUUUGGAGAGAAAGAGGUUAUUGUCUUUGGCAUCAGGAAUCCUGAGGAGAUUCCUUGGGGUGAGACUGGAGCUGACUUCGUUGUGGAGUCUACUGGUGUCUUU